rnacentral:pre_miRNA from 1 species
UAAGGUGCAUCUAGUGCAGUUAGUGAACUAGCUUAGACUCUACUGCCCUGAGUGCUCCUUCUGGC